rnacentral:tRNA from 1 species
GGGGUUGUAGCUCAGUUGGCAGAGCAUCUGCUUUGCAAGCAGGAUGUCAGGAGUUCGAAUCUCCUCAGCUCCACCA